rnacentral:lncRNA from 1 species
GUACACGCUACCAUGAGAACACAAAAGGGGCAUUUGUGUCCAACAGAGAAGCUAAGAAACAUGUCCCAGAGCCAAUAUUAAAACCACAGUGGUAACAUAUACACCACUGUGAGAGUGUAGGGAAAUACUUGAGCUCUUCACCAAAUACAACGGCAGCAUUUGAGAUUUCUUAGCUUCAUUUUGUUUGUUGCAGUUAGCCCAGAUUGACUGUUGUGCAAACAGCUUCCAUUUGGUUUAGUUUUUGAUAACUCAUUUUAUGAUAGGCAGCUGCUUCUUAUUUGAAGUGAGAGAUGAGGUAAGAAAGAAUUCAAAAGAUUUGAAGGCUACAUGACAGGGUUGCUUCAUGAUAACAAACAGCCAUUCUCAAUGUUUGAAGUGGAAGGCAUUACUUCCUCAGGGUCUUUCCGGUUUUCUCUGUUUUUUGUUUUUUUCAACUGUGUGCUGCGCCACCCCCCCACCCCAAUUCCAAUGAUUUCCCCCAUAGAUAAGAAAUAAUUGCUUGUUUCUUGAAGAAUUUUUAAAAAAGGGCUAUCCUAAGGCUGCGUUUCUCAUAUUUGGUAU